AGGAAGAGCUCACAGAUCUUAAAGGUGCAGAACACGGUGACACGCUUCCUCAGUGGGGCCAGAUGGUCUUUCAGGGCUCUCGGCAAGCCAUCCAGCCCUUCUCAGCAGCCUGAGGGAAUGGAUAUCUUCCACGACACUAUCCUCCAAAGGAGUCAAUCGGUGUGUACAGCUCUAGGUCUGUGAGAUGGCCAAGGAUAUUUGUCUGCAGAGCCUGGACAGCUGCUGAAGUGUCCACAUUCCUGCAUGUAGCACCUUCAUAGAGCAGUGUGGGAGAAAAGGGUGGCCUGUGCAUAGAGAGUUAUGCUAUGCUGCCACACUAUAGUGGACAGUACUGAAGAGCCUGGGAAUUCUCACUUUAAGCUCUCCCUUCUUGGUGAUUGCAAAAGUGCAUUUGUCAAGGAUCAGCAUAUCCCUGAGAGCUGUUUUCUUUUGGUCCCUGCGGUGCAGAAUGGAACAUGGCAUUUAUGAAGCAUCUCCAUCUCUAAGUAACUCAGCACUCUGCCUGUGGGAGGCAGGACACAGCACUCGGUUACACUGUAAGUGUCCCCCUGCUGCACUGAAGCCAGCCUCCUUUUGCAUCUGCAAGAUAUUUGCAAAGC